AUCCAGCUGACGAGUCCCAUAUAGGACGAGGUGGAACGAGUCCUGGAU
rnacentral:hammerhead_ribozyme from 1 species